UCGUGCCAAUUUUGGGAGGUAUUAUCUUACUUUAUCGUUACUUUGUGGUUACCGUAAUUGUAAGAAUUUCUCGGAGCUUUUGCUUAUGACAAUUGUCAUUUUCGAACAAGAUCGUUGUAGAAGUUGAAAAUAUAAUAAAAAAUGGGUCUCGGUGCUACGUUAUACAAUCUCGUUCUGAAACGAACAUCUACAUUUACGGUUACCAUCAUAGCUACCGCUUUCAUUUUCGAAAGGGGAUUUGAUUUGGCUUCAGAGAAGAUUUUUGACACUAUUAAUAAAGGGAAACUAUGGAAACACAUAAAGGACAAGUACGAGCAGUGAAUGAAAGAUUUUAGGAGAAUGGAGACAUUCUAUUUUAGCUGCAUAUGUAAUGAUCUGUACCAGAUCUUCAAAUAUGUAAAUAAAUAACAACUAAACUUGAUGCUAUAUAAAAGAAUAAACAAUCAUUAUCUGAUAAUUAUAACUAAUCAGAAUGACGGAAGGAGAUGAAAAGCCAAAGUUGGAUGUUAG